rnacentral:rRNA from 1 species
AGUGAACGCUGGCGGUAGGCCUAACACAUGCAAGUCGAACGGCAGCACAGUAAGAGCUUGCUCUUACGGGUGGCGAGUGGCGGACGGGUGAGGAAUACAUCGGAAUCUACUUUUUCGUGGGGGAUAACGUAGGGAAACUUACGCUAAUACCGCAUACGACCUACGGGUGAAAGCAGGGGAUCUUCGGACCUUGCGCGAUUGAAUGAGCCGAUGUCGGAUUAGCUAGUUGGCGGGGUAAAGGCCCACCAAGGCGACGAUCCGUAGCUGGUCUGAGAGGAUGAUCAGCCACACUGGAACUGAGACACGGUCCAGACUCCUACGGGAGGCAGCAGUGAGGAAUAUUGGACAAAGGGCGCAAGCCUGAUCCAGCCAUACCGCAUGGGUCAAGAAGGCCUUCGGGUUGUAAAGCCCUUUUGUUGGGAAAGAAAAGCAGCAGGUUAAUACCCCGCUGUUCCGACGGUACCCAAAGAAUAAGCACCGGCUAACUUCGUG